GAGAAAAGCAAUCGAGUUGAGAUGACCAAUGAUAAUCUGUUUAUCGCUAUUUUACCUUUUGACGAUGUUGUUAAUUUCAUUGACAACAGUGUGUGUGCCCUUAGUUUCUAGCAAUAAUUCUUCCUAUCACUCUACUGUGCUGAGAAAGGAAAUUAUCAGUCAGAAAGUUCAAAGGAAAAUUUCAUAAAAUAGCGAUAAACCA
rnacentral:lncRNA from 1 species